ACCAAUACCUGGCACGUCGUUCCUGUCAACUGGCCUACUCUCUGAAUGUCCAGUCGUUUUAGUAGAGCACAAGAAAACGUUUGGACUCCUUUAUCAGGACACAUUACUCAACUGAGCCUUGCAACACUUAUGCACUCUAAUCAGCGGCGUGGAUCAGAAAGGGGAAUACCACAUACCCAUGCGAUGUCGACUUGUCUUUUAAUAGAAUUAGGUUUAUGAUCACAGCAAGAUGCGAGAAUCGUCAAAACUGCCCCAAUUUAUCGCCUCUCAUAUCGGCUGGAACACGUAGCCAAGUUAUUUUAUGAAUUGCUGAUGCUGACAAGUUCGACAUCAAACAAUAAAGUGGCGCCUGUUUGAACAGAUAAGGUAUUAUUGUAACGCAAACUAUUUUUAUGGCAUUGUAGAAAUAGGUACCUCCAGGGAUGACGUUACCAGCUCCUCUCUGGCCAUAACCUAACGAACUCGGGAUCGUUAACUUGCGUUUUUCACCUGGACACAUAUCAGUUAGACCCAGAUCCCAGCCUUUAAUCACCUGACCUGCACCAAGGCGGAAGCGGAAUGGUUGGUUCCUGUCGAAGCUGUUGACGGUACAAAAAUAAAUUAGACUGCUUGAAA